CGUCCAGAGAGUUUGUAUCCGUGGACGUCAAGGAUAAAACGCUGCGGCGCACAUAGACAUGCAAGUCGAACGGACUUAACCAUUAGUUUACUAUUGGAGCGGUUAGUGGCGGACUGGUGAGUAACACGUAAGCAACCUGCCUAUCAGAGGGGAACGAACAGUUAGAAAUGACUGCUAAUACCGCAUAUGCCUUGAGUUACGCAUGUAACGAAAGGAAAGGAGCAAUCCGCUGAUAGAUGGGCUUGCGUCUGAUUAGAUAGUUGGUGGGGUAACGGCCUACCAAGUCGACGAUCAGUAGCCGGACUGAGAGGUUGAACGGCCACAUUGGGACUGAGAUACGGCCCAGACUCCUACGGGAGGCAGCAGUCGGGAAUAUUGCGCAAUGGAGGAAACUCUGACGCAGCGACGCCGCGUGCAGGAAGAAGGUUUUCGGAUUGUAAACUGCUUUAGACAGGGAAGAUAAUGACAGUACCUGUAGAAUAAGCUCCGGCUAACUACGUG
rnacentral:rRNA from 1 species